GGCAAAUGACAAACUGACUUAAAGAGCCA
rnacentral:piRNA from 1 species